rnacentral:lncRNA from 1 species
CCGUUGCUUGUCCCAGAAGAAGUCCCGGUGACCGACGCAGAGGUUGUAGAAUCAGCACGGUUUGCUGUGGUUGAAUUCAACAAAGCCAACACGGAAUACAUGUUUAAUUACAAAAUUGUGAAAAUAACAUCGGCCAAAAUUCAGAGUAUCGCAGGAUUUGUUCCAGCAUCUUACUACAUCCUAGAAAUACACCUGCGACGUACAACGUGCAAGAAAGGCAACACUGCUGCUAGGAAAUGUCAUUCUCCCCGUGAACCCAAGGAACUCAAGUGCCAAUUCACCAUUUAUUACUCUUUGGGACAUCCACGUGCACUUUCUGAAAGCGAGUGUAAAACAUGUCACCACUGAUUCUGAUAUUGUGAAUUAAACUUACUAUUGAAUUGUUUC